rnacentral:lncRNA from 1 species
UUUUUAUUUUUUUUUUUUUACGAUUAAAACCAAUUAUUUUAUUGAAGGAGAUAAGCAAAUGCCCAUUGUUGGCAAAGGGAAGAGACAUGUUGGAAGUCAGGUGUGUUCGCAGAUGAGAGAGAGUAACCAAGGCUCCACCCAACAAAUAUUCAGAAUCAGGGCUUCUGUAUUUCUCCAUGGCUUGACUUCUCAUGGGUCACUUUCCAGUCAAAGGAUUCUGGAGACCAAAUCAGGUAAGAUUCUUUCGGUUAUCAACCAAUAGUCUUUACAUCUUCUCUCAGCCAAGGCAUCCAGGGAAAGUAUACAGGCGACCCUCAGAGAUACUACAAGUUUGGUUCCAGACCAUCACGGUAAAGCAAAUAUAACAAAGCAGGUCAAAUGAAUUUUUUGGCUUCCCAGCACGUAUGAAAAUUACAUUUAUACUAUCCUGUAGUCUAUUAAGUGUAUAAUAGCAUUAUGUCUAGAAAACAAUGUACAUGCCUUAAUUAAAAAUACUUUAUUGCUAAUAAAGUACUGGAAGGUCUUGCUUCGAUGUUGCUGCAGCUUCUACAUUGGCACUUGUCACCACACACUUUUAGGUUAUAAAGACAGCUUCUUUUCUUUAAACCUCACACAUCAGUGUCUACAAGCUUCAAACUUUUCUUCUGCUUCCUCACCUCUUGGCCAUCACAGAAUUGAAGAGAGCUAGGACUUUGCUCUAGAGUAGGCUUUGGCUUAAGGGAACGUUUGAUCUUCUAUCCAGACCACUGAAACAAGGCUGUUUUGCUUCCUUACCACUUGUGUGUUCACUGGAGUAGCACUUUUACUUUCCUUCAAGAACUUUCCCUUUGUAUUUGGCAACUUGGCUCCAGCCUAUCUCGGCUUUCAACAUGCCUUUCUUGCUGAGCUUAUCACUUCUACCUUUUGACUUACAGUGAGAGAUGAAGGACUCUUCCUUUCACUUGAAUACUUAGAGGCCAUCGUAGGAUUACUAACUGGCCUAAUUUCAAUAUGUUGAGUCUCAGGGGGUAGGGAGGCCCAAGGACAGGAAGAGACAAGGGAAUGGCUGGUUGGUGAGCAGUCACAAUACAUAGAACACUGAUUAAGUUCACUGUCUUAUACGGGCACACUUUGUGGCACCCCAAAACAAUCACAAUAGUAACAUCACAGAUCACCAUAAGAAAUAUAAUAAUUACAAAGUUCAAAAUAUUGUAAGAAUUACCAAAAUGUGAUACAAAGACACAAGGUGAGAAAUGCUGUUGGAAAAAUGGCGCCAAUAGACUUGCUUGUGCCAGGUUGCCACAAACCUUCAAUUUGAAAAAAAUGCAUUAUCUGCGAAGUUCAAUAAAACGAAGCACAAUAAAACAAGGUAUGCCUGUAAUUUAUUUUUCAGAUUCCUCUGCGGGAUUAAAAAGUCUUUUUCUCAUCGCAUUGCCAUGCUCCCUGCUCUUGGUCCUCUUUUCCAUGUACUCAUUCUUCAAGCAUUUUCUCAUCUCCCGAUCAAGAUCAUUGCAACGACCAAAAAAUUUCAGAAUGCUGUGAUUUUUGUGACAUUCCUUAAGCAAGUUAAUCAAGACGUUGCAUUCUUCAGUGUGCAAGUGUGGAGAUAAGUCAGGAUGCAUCUUUAGGAGGUGACGGAGCACAGCAGGGCAACCCGCCUUGCGGCCGCACCGGCCGGCUGAAGCCGCCGUCACCAGCGAGGCCUCCCCAUCCAAAGGCCGGCCCCCGGGACGCCGGGGGCGGGGCAGCUCCGGGCGGCGAGGGCUCCCGCGCCCUCCACGGCUGACCCCGCGGGGCUCCAGCGGCCCCC